CCCUUGGAGUGUUACAGCAAACGAAAGUAGUAUAUGAAAAUAUACCAAAUCGGACACGAUGAACAGGGAA
rnacentral:ncRNA from 1 species